UACGGGGGGGGCAAGCGUUGUUCGGAAUUACUGGGCGUAAAGGGCACGUAGGUGGCCAACUAAGUCAGACGUGAAAUCCCUCGGCUUAACCGGGGAACUGCGUCUGAUACUGGAUGGCUUGAGUUCGGGAGAGGGAUGCGGAAUUCCAGGUGUAGCGGUGAAAUGCGUAGAUAUCUGGAGGAAUACCGGUGGCGAAGGCGGCAUCCUGGACCGGCAUUGACGCUGAGGAGCGAAAGCCAGGGGAGCAAACGGG
rnacentral:rRNA from 1 species